rnacentral:rRNA from 1 species
UUCUGGACGUCGACCGGCGCACGGGUGAGUAUCGCGUAUCCAACCUGCCCCUUACUCGGGGAUACCCCGUUGAAAGACGGCCUAAUACCCGAUGUGUUUCAUUGACGGCAUCCGAUAUGAAACAAAGGUUUUCCGGUAAGGGAUGGGGAUGCGUCUGAUUAGCUAGUUGGCGGGGCAACGGCCCACCAAGGCGACGAUCAGUAGGGGUUCUGAGAGGAAGGUCCCCCACAUUGGAACUGAGACACGGUCCAA